rnacentral:lncRNA from 1 species
CAAACAAUAGACCUCUAUCUAGACCAGAAGUGCCCUCACCUUGGCCGAUAAAAUCCUCGUGUGAUCUCGCUAAAUCGACUUUGCCUGUACGAGUUCCUGCAUGGACAGAGUAACGAUAGGGUUAGAACCUUCGAAGAAAAGAAACCUCCUUCUUCUCCAAGAAGCUCGAAACUCUAGCCCCUAAAACCCCAUAAAACUUUAAACUUCC